rnacentral:rRNA from 1 species
CCUACGGGGGGCUGCAGUGGGGAAUAUUGCACAAUGGGGGAAACCCUGAUGCAGCAACGCCGCGUGAGUGAAGAAGGUCUUCGGAUCGUAAAGCUCUGUCUUUGGGGACGAUAAUGACGGUACCCAAGGAGGAAGCCACGGCUAACUACGUGCCAGCAGCCGCGGUAAUACGUAGGUGGCAAGCGUUGUCCGGAAUUACUGGGCGUAAAGGAUGCGUAGGCGGAUAUCUAAGUCAGAUGUGAAAUACCCGGGCUCAACUUGGGUGCUGCAUUUGAAACUGGAUAUCUAGAGUGCAGGAGAGGAAAGUGGAAUUCCUAGUGUAGCGGUGAAAUGCGUAGAGAUUAGGAAGAACACCAGUGGCGAAGGCGACUUUCUGGACUGUAACUGACGCUGAGGCAUGAAAGCGUGGGUAGCAAACAGGAUUAGAUACCCCAGUAGUC